AGGUCCACUCCUGGGCCAGCCCAGUCUCUUGAGAGGACAGACCUGAGGGAAGGAGAAAGGAGCCAGGAGCCUCCCGCAAAACCCAGUGAGGUUUAAUCCACGGAAUGAAACCAGGAUGAAGCAGCCUUCCCCAGCUUCCAGCCCCUGGUGGAGCAAACUCCCCACAUGAGGACAUCAACGUCCUUCUCAAUCCUUAGCUGUCAAGAGAAAACUCUCCUGAGACUGACCCCGAGCUGGCCCGGGCGACUCUCGUGAGAACCAGCCCGGGCUGGCCUGCGGGAAACAAGCGGCCUAAAGUCAGCACCGUCAAGCCAGCCAGACGCCCGGGGUCGACCAGCUGCCUCGCCGCAGGUGCAGAUGCAGGCGAGGGAAGCCAGCCAGCGGUCCCCUGGGCCCACAUCAUCCUGCUGACCUGCAGAAGCGUGAGCGGAGAAAUGACUGUUGCCUUCAGCCACUGAGUUUUGGGGCGACUCGCUCCACAGCAAAAGCUGACGGACACAAGGUCCAUAAACAUUUGUUGAAUGAAUGUUAACGAACGUUGUGUCUUCCCCACCCCACCGCCAACCUCCCAUGGGACCCCCGCCCCUCACCUUUCUCGUCACCGUCACAGCCGGCGGCCCCGACCUCCACAGCCACCCAGUCUUUGGUGGGGGUGGCGCGCUUCU